GCGUUGGGUAACGCCGCCGACAUUUCACCUACUUUCAAGCCACUGCUGCGACGAAUCCGUUUGGCCCCAAGUUGUUUUCGCCUCCAAGGAAAGUGACAAGAAUGAGUCCUCCUACUAUGCAAAAGGCCAGCUGCAAAAAUCCAGAGUCAGGGAGAAUACGGGAGACAGAAGAGCCUGGGGAGAGGACGAGCAAAGCAGCUCAAAGCACAGGGAGCCUGGAGAAAAACAGGAGCCAGAAGCCUGUGAGGAGGCUGCGCCCUUGAGCAGUGAGGACUGCAGCUGCCUCAGUCCCGCAGUGCCACAGGGAUGGCUGAGGCAGAGCCAGUCCCCACAGCAACACCUGCAGAGCUGUGGGAUGCCAGGUUGGCUUAUGCCCCAACCUCACCAACAGCAGCCUCAGGCAGGGAGACAGAGAUCCCUUUGCCUGAGCCCCUGGUGAAAGGCAGAUCAGCUGAAAAGCAGCUCCUGCUUUGGAGCGAUGCCACAGCCAGAUUUUGGAUUCCCAGGAGAUGAGGGGAGGCUGAGCUAAACCUCACUGUGUUUUAGGACAGAUAAAAGGACCAGCAAACAGGCAGAAGCAUCCUCAGCAGAGGGGCACAGAGGGACCCUCACUUUCUGACAAACCACAAAAGAAGUGCUUUUCCUUCCCCUUACUCCUUCUUUUUGUCUUUUUGUUUUUUUAACCUACUACAGCUUCUCUGCUGCCGCUUUUUGUUCUCAUUCUCCUUUCCAUGCUCCAGUGAAAUCUUCUGCUUUGCAGGCACGAUGCCAGUUCAGACUGAUGUUUACAAGCUAUAGUAGGGUUCACUUUCUCACUUGCACAGUUCACACCUUCUCCCAGAGAGAAAGAAGUCGUGGAAGUGAGAGGCUGCCAUUAGCAGGAUUGAAUGUCAGACACCUGAGGAAACUGAUACCAAAGAACUGAUGGAGGCAGUUCCUAGUGAACAGGUGGCUACAUCCUGAAACCUCUUCGCUGGAUGCUAACUGGCCCCAGGCUAGCUGCCUUGGUAGAAAGGCCAGGGGCCAAACGGGUCACAAUGACUGAAGUCUCCCAUGUCCUCAGGGGUUCUUCUACGGCUGGCUGAAGUGUGCUGCAGUGCCUGAGCACUCACCCGAGCCUGCUUCUGCUUCUCCAUUGUCUUUUUAUCAUGACUGAGAAUCUCAUAUCUUUCAGCAGAAUUCAUUUGACAUUGAAUUCAAGGAAAAAAAAAAUACAGGAAAAUUGUUAGGCUCUGAUAAAUAAACAUUUUCAGGAACAAUUUCAUCUUACUGACUGUGGAAAUGUGUGACAGAUCUGAACUGAGGCAAAUCAAGCGGACCGCUAUCCAUAUUUCAUUCCGAUAUUGUGAGAGAAAGCAGCAGCAGCCAGAGAAAUGGAAAGAUCGACAGUUAAUUGGAAAUGUUACAUCUGCUGUUUAUGCAAAAGGCAUAAAUAUUUAUAUCCUGAAGGCUGACUUUUGGGUUCGCUCCUCAGCAGGAAGAGAUUUACAUUUUGAAUAAAGACUUUUUUCUUUCUCCUUCUCG
rnacentral:lncRNA from 7 species